AUACGUAGGUGGCAAGCGUUGUCCGGAUUUAUUGGGCGUAAAGCGAGCGCAGGUGGUCUUUUAAGUCUGAUGUGAAAGCCCUCGGCUCAACCGAGGAAGGUCAUUGGAAACUGGAGGACUUGAGUGCAGAAGAGGAGAGUGGAAUUCCAUGUGUAGCGGUGAAAUGCGUAGAUAUAUGGAGGAACACCAGUGGCGAAGGCGACUCUCUGGUCUGUAACUGACACUGAGGCUCGAAAGCGUGGGGAGCAAACAGGAUUAGAUACCCUGGUAGUCCACGCCGUAAACGAUGAGUGCUAAGUGUUGGAGGGUUUCCGCCCUUCAGUGCUGCAGUUAACGCAUUAAGCACUCCGCCUGGGGAGUACGACCGCAAGGUUGAA
rnacentral:rRNA from 1 species